rnacentral:lncRNA from 1 species
CAGGCCUGCACCACCACGCCCGGCUAGUUUUGUAUUUUUAGUAGAGGCGAGGUUUCACCAUGUUGGCCAUUCUGGUCUCAACCUCAUGACCUCAGGUAAUCCGCCUGCCUUGUCUUCCCAAAGUGCUGGGAUUACAGGUUUGAGCCACCGCACCCAGCCCCCUAGCUCAUUUUUUAAAGGGUAAUGCCAGCUGCUGUACUGAGACUAGACCACAGGGCUGAGUGGGAACAAGGGAAGAGGCUGGAAGACCAGAAGGCCCCUGCUAUAGUCUGAAAGAGGCAGCACUGGCUGGAACCAAGGGACACCCCGAUGAUGACCACG